UACAGAGGGUGCGAGCGUUGUCCGGAAUCACUGGGCGUAAAGCGCGUGUAGGCGGCCUUGCAAGUCGGGUGUGAAAGCCCUCAGCUCAACUGAGGAAGCGCGCCCGAAACUGCAGAGCUUGAGUACCGGAGAGGAUGGCGGAAUUCCCCAAGUAGAGGUGAAAUUCGUAGAUAUGGGGAGGAACACCGGUGGCGAAGGACGGCCAUCUGGACGGAUACUGACGCUGAGACGGCGAAAAGCGUGG
rnacentral:rRNA from 1 species